rnacentral:rRNA from 1 species
UACGUAGGGGGCAAGCGUUGUCCGGAAUCAUUGGGCGUAAAGAGCGUGUAGGCGGCUUGGUAAGUCCGCUGUGAAAGUCCAGGGCUCAACCCUGGAAUGCCGGUGGAAACUGUCAAGCUCGAGUCCGGAAGAGGCGAGUGGAAUUCCUGGUGUAGCGGUGAAAUGCGCAGAUAUCAGGAGGAACACCAAUGGCGAAGGCAGCUCGCCGGGACGGUACUGACGCUGAGACGCGAAAGCGUGGGGAGCAAACAGG